GCCCUUUUAGCUCAGUUGGUAGAGCGGUUCACUCGUAAUGAACAGGUCGCCGGUUCGAGUCCGGUGAAGGGCU
rnacentral:tRNA from 1 species